rnacentral:rRNA from 1 species
CGGGCGCAGCAGGCGCGAAAACUUCGCAAUGGGGGAAACCCCGACGAGGGAAAGCCAAGUGCCAGCACAAUGUGCUGGCUGUUUUCUUGUCUAAAAAACAAGGAGAGUAAGGGCUGGGUAAGACGGGUGCCAGCCGCCGCGGUAAUACCUGCAGCCCGAGUGGUACUCGUUAUUAUUGGGUCUAAAUCGUCCGUAGUCGGUUGCGUAGAUGCCUGGGUAAAUCGAGGCGCUUAACGUCUCGAAUUCCAGGUAGACCGCGCGACUAGGGAUCGGGAGAGGUGCAAAGUACUUCGGGGGUAGGGGUAAAAUCCUGUAAUCCUCGAGGGACUACCAGUGGCGAAGGCGUUGCACUAGAACGAGUCCGACGAUCAGGGACGAAGCCCUGGGGCGCAAACGGGAUUAGAUACCCCGGUAGUCCAGGGUGUAAACGCUGCAGGCUUGGUGUCGGCGAUCCUACGAGGGUGGCCGGUGCCGGAGCGAAGGUGUUAAGCCUGCAACCUGGGGAGUACGGUCGCAAGACUGAAACUUAAAGGAAUU